rnacentral:lncRNA from 1 species
AGAAGGUGAAGUCAUUGGCAGCUGAUUGAGAAUAACCCAUUCUUUGGCAUGCUUUGAACUCAUACUGUGUGAUUUGGACAUAUGAAUUAAACUUGCCCUGGUUGAGUGACCUGAAUAACAUAAAUGAUGAUAAGUCAGUUUUAGAUAAUUUUGAGUUUUGUGACAAUUGAUUUCAAUACGACGGUUACUUUUUCCAGAUUCUAUUGCAGCUGUAGAAUGAUGUAUUAACUGUAGUCUUCUAAUGUUUUUUUUAUUGGUGACAAGAGAGUUGAUCAGUGAUAAAGUGUG